GUGCAAGUGAGUUCGUUUUUAGUUACGUUGAUCAAGGUGUUUGAGGUGGACAUAAACUCCCAUGUUUUUUUUGAACAUAUAACCUCCCAUGUUGAUGACCCCAAGGGAGUCUACUUCGUUUUACAUAAGCGCUACCUUUAAUCAUUUGAUUUAAUAUAUAUCCUUCUAGUCUCUAAGUUGUUCAAGCUAACCACAUUCAUGUUCGUAUACAUUUAGGGUGAAUAAACCAUAUAAUCUGAUACACCAACAAAAUAUUCGUCUAAUAACAUAUAUAUCGAAUGGUGAUGGAUUUAUUAUUAG
rnacentral:lncRNA from 1 species